GCCUGGGUGGCUCAGUUAGCUGAGCAUCUGACUUCAGCUCAGGUCAUGAUUUCACAGUUUGAUUCGUGAGUUCAAGUCCCGCAUCUGGCU
rnacentral:tRNA from 1 species